AUGCUAGAGCACUUUUUCAAUGUGCUCCUCAACGAGAAGGCGACGACGCAUUUGUAUGUCAAUCCAUAUCAACUUUCGAUGCCAUUGACUGCGCCUACCAUGGUGACCACGGGUAAUGGGAAAUCAGAGUUCGAUUCCAUACAGGAACCCUGACAAAUGGCUACCACAUGCAAGGAAGGCA
rnacentral:rRNA from 1 species